ensembl:lncRNA
CAUUUCUCCCGUCUCACGCUCAUGUGAGGCACCAAUAACAUGGGCUAAAUUACCAGCACUUAUUUGCUGCAUCCCCUGCAAGAGCCUGAACUCCCCUGUUUACGGCCAUGCCCUAACAUCCCAUUCUCCCCCAGCCAUGAUCUCAAAUCCGGCACUUUGAAAACCCUCAUCCUGCUUUUCUCACAAGAUUGUGAGGAUUCACCUGUGGAUUAAAUGGGGACAACAAAAAAGAACAUCUUUUCCUGAGUGGGAUUUAACAUCAACUGGGUGAAACGGUCCAAAUAAGAUUGGGAUACACAAGCGAAAUCAAAGGACACUCGGCUGAAGUACCACCAUGGCUCAGGCAACUAAAGGUCCCGUGGUGAAGUCCAUCCCUCCCACUGGUGUAGCUGCCCCGGCUAGAACAGCACACACAGACUCACUUACUGCCGGGAGCCAUGGAAUUUUACGAAUCAUGAAUCGCCCGGCACAGUGGGUGGUCAUCAUCACACUUCUGAUUUCUUGGUCAAUAGCAGGUGUUGUCAUGUUUGAUUUUGUCAGUGACGAUCAGAUUGCAAGCAUCCAGGAUUUUGGCUCUGAUCCAGUGCUAGCAGUGAGCAAGGCCAUCGAAGGCAUUGAAAACUGGAUAAACCAUAUGAACGAUAUGCUUUAUGAUGCUCACGAGUACAUCACUGAAAUAAUAUUUAAUCCGAGGGAAGCUAUUAGUUUAGCAGCUGACUCAUCUGUGUCUUAUCUGUCAGGAAUAUUUAGUGCUGAUGGAGAUUCAGGAGUCACUGAAACAGUGAAAUAUGGUGGCACUGUAUUGGAUGAGGCUACAGAAUGGAUCAGAACCCCAGUGAGCUACUUAUUCCACUUGUUUGAAGACAUAUUGGAUAUAGUGAUUACUCCAGUGGAUAUGGUCACUGAAGUUGCUGUGCAAAUUUUAAGUGGGAUCAAGACCAUUAUACAAUAUAUUUCAACCAUGUUUGGGGGCAUUGAAGGGGAUACAGGCAUCACUGAAACAGUGAAACUUGGUGGUACUUUAUUGGAUGAGGUUACUGAAUGGAUCAGAUUCCCAGUGGGCUACUUAUUCCACUUAUUUGAAGGCAUCUUGGAUGUAGCAAUCAUUUAUCCAGGGGACAUUGCCACUGAAGCAGUUCUGCAAAUUUUAAGUGGGAUCAAGACCAUUUCUUCAACCAUAUUUGGAUACCUUGAAGUUUGGUUUCCCAAAAUGAGCACUGGUCCCGCAGAACUGGCUGAAAUUGUUGUAGAGAAGGCCACAGACAUAAAGACCACUGUCUCUAAUUACCUAACCAGUCUGUUUGCAGUGGAUGAAGGUGGUAUUCCUGACAUUAGCUUUGAUCCCAUGAAAGUUGUCACAGACACUGUUGAGGAGUUUGCUGACAGGAGGGAUAUGUUCUUGGCCUAUCUCUCCAACAUGGAAGACAAAGAUGACACACCGCAAGUGAUAAGACGGAAAGGAGAAUUUCUGCCCCCUAUGGAAAAAGUUGCAGAAAUAGUAGGCAAAACACAGGACCCUGCUUAUGCUGCCUACAUUGCUGUGAGAUCCACAGUGAAGGAGACAGACAACACUAAAGUAAUAAAAGAGGUUGAGGAGGAACAUGGUGAGCUGGAAUCUGCUGAAGAUGCAACUGAAAAAGCUCAAGAUAUACAAGUAGAUGUUACAAAGGAGGAAGGAAGAGUUGAACCAGCUGAGGACAGCUCUGAUGUCACAGUUUACGAUGAUGAGGUUGUCUCAGAUGUCAUGGAGGAGGAUAAAACUCCUGGAACAGUUGAAGAUAUUUUGGAUGUUACAGAGGAGGAACCUUCUGUUAUGCCAGAAGUCAUAGAUGAGGAAUUAGCUACUGAAAAGGUUGAAGAUAUCUCUGAUUUCAUAGAGGACAAGUCAGCUAUGAUGGCCUCUGAUGCGACAGAAGACACUGAUGAUGCCUCUGCAGUUACAGAGGAGAAAGAAACAACUGAAACAAUUGAAGAAGCAGCAAUUGAAACAGCAGAAGAUACUUCCAAUAUUACAACCAAAACUGAAUUGAAUACAGAUGAAAAUGAAUUUCAGAAAAUUCCCAAUAUUACAGAGGAGGAUGCAGAACUUGAAACAGUUAAAGAUACUUCUGAUCUCAUAGGUGAGAUAGAAGAACCUGAGACAGAUGAAUAUGCCUUUGCUGUCACGGAAGAAACAGCUGAAGAGUCACUAGAAGAAGAACAGCCACCAGAAUUGACUGAAGCUACUCAAGAUACCAUCUGUGUGAAGGAAAAGAUUGCAGCAAAAGAACUCAAUGAUCAUGAAGUCCCAGGUAAGGAUGAAUUAAAAGAGGAAGAUAAGCAGAGAAAGGAAGAUGUGGCAAUUGCUGAUGCUGAAAACAGCACAAAAAACCUGGAGAAUGAGGUAGAUGAAGAUGAGGUUGAGGUGGAGACUAAAGAUCAAACUAUCUUGGGAACAUCUGCUGGUGAAGAUGACCUUGACAAUGAAGAGGAGCUUGUCCUUUCUCCUGUCCAGCAUGACCUCACAGACAGAAAUGAUGAAAAUAACAAUAACAAUGACAGGAUGAGAGAUGCCAUAAAAACAGGCCUGAGCAGGAGAAAAACAUCAAAGAGCCAUUCCAUUGGCACAAACCACCAAGAAGCACACGAGGAUCUUCAUGAAGAGUCUCACAAAGAUAUGAGGGAAAAGAAGGCUGAAAGUAAAGAGGAAGAGAUAACACUGCAACGAAUAAACAUAACAGUAGAAAAAGUCAAGAAGAAAAAGGAGAUAGAAAAGGCUAAAAGAAAAGAAAAAUCCAAAGAGGACAAGACUCGAGAACCAACAGAAGCUAAAAUGGCCAAAAAAGAGACCAAACUAGCAACAUCUAAGAAAGAGCCUCGAGUUACAAAAGAAAAGGCUAAACCAGCUCGUUCAAAGAAAGAAGCUGAAGUUGCUGUUAAAAAACUAAAACACGCUCCUGCAAAGAAAGAGCCUGAGGUUUCCAAAGAGAAGGCCAAGCUGAAGCCCUCAAAGAAAGAAGCUAAAGCUCCCAAGGACAAAAUUAAACCGGCCCUUUUGAAGAAAGAGCCUGAUGUUUCUAAGGAGAAAGAAAAACCACCAACUGCAAAGAAAGAAGAAAAGCCAACAACCGCUAAAAAAGAGCCUGCAGUUGCAGAAGAGAAAGUCAAACCAGUGCCCUCAAAGAAAGAUACUAAAGCUAUUAAGGAGAAAGUGAAACCAGCCCCAGUUAAGAAAGAGCCUGAGGUUUCCAAAGAAAAAGCCAAGCCAAAACGUUUAAAGAAAGAGGCUAAAUCUGUUGAAGAGAAGGCAAAACCAGCACCAGCUAAAAAAGAGAAGGAGAAACCUCCAAAGAAAGCUGUAAAAGAAAAGCCCAAACCUGCUUCUGUAAAGAAAGAACCUAAAUUUCCAAGAGAGAAAGCAAAACCUAAACCUUCCAAAAAAGAGGCAGAAGUUGCCAAAGACAAGCAUAAACCUGUCACUGUGAAGAAAGAACCUGCUGUUGCAGUUGAAAAGGCAAAACCGAAACCUGCACCAAAGAAAGUUACCAAAGAGAAAGCUAAACCAGAACCUGCAAAGAAAGAACCUGAGAUAACCAAAGAAAAACCGAGAGCACCAAAGAGAAAGGCUCAAGUUAUUAAGGAGGAAGCUAAACCAGCUCCUGCAAAAAAAGUCUUCAAAGAUGUUAAACCAGCCCUUAAGAGAAGAGAGGCUAAAGUAAUGAAGAAGAAAGUUAAACCGACUCCUGUAAAGAAAGAGCCUGAAGUUGCUAAAGAAAAGGCACCUGAAUCAGCACCAAGAAUAGUGGCUAAAGUCAUCAAGGAGAAACCUAAACCAGUUCCUGAGAAGAAAGAAGCUGUAAUCAUCAAAAAGAAAGUUAAACUGGCUCCAGUAAAGAAAGCACCUGAGAUAAUCAAAGAAAAGCCAAAGCCAGCACCAAAGAAAGAGGCUGAAGUCAUCAAAGAGAAAGCUAAACCAACUCCUGAAAAGAAAGUCAUCAAGGAGAAACCUAAACCAGUUCCUGAGAAGAAAGAAGCUGUAAUCAUCAAAAAGAAAGUUAAACUGGCUCCAGUAAAGAAAGCACCUGAGAUAGUCAAAGAAAAGCCAAAGCCAGCACCAAAGAAAGAGGCUGAAGUCAUCAAAGAGAAAGCUAAAGCAACUCCUGAAAAGAAAGAGACCGAAGUCAUCAAGGAGAAAGUUAAACCAGCCCCUGUAAAGAAAGUUAAAGUUCCAAAGGAAAAGACAAAACUUGUCCUUGAAGCAAAGGAACCCAAAAUAACUAAGGAAAAGCCAAAGCCAGCACCAAAGAAAGAAGCUUUAGUCAUCAAAGAGAAAGCUAAACCAGCCCCUGUGAAGAAAGAGUCUGAAAUUAUCAAGGAAGAAAGAAAGAAAGCUAAACCAGCUCCUAAGAAGAAAGUGGCUGAAGUCACCAAGGAGAAAGCUAAGCAAGCUCCGAUGAAGAAAGAGCCUGAAGUCACUAAAGAAAAGUUAUUAGAACCAACUCCAAAAAAAGAGCUCCUGAACUCUAUCAGCCAAAAACUGUCUCUUCUGGAUUUACUGAGGAAGGACAUUGGUGAAAUGAAGAGUGAUCUGGAGUCCACUCAAAAUCAAAUUACGCUUUUACGAAUGGACAACAGAACAAUCAAAGAGCCAAAGACUGUUGGUGUAAAGGUAAAACCAGCAGUCUCCAAGGAAAAGGUCAAAACAGCAAAAAAAGACCAUGAUGCUCUGAUGAACGUUACAGCACAUAUUAAAGCAGAAGCUGAAAUCAUCAAAAAGAUAAAAGAUAAAGUUAAACUGGCUCCUUUAAAGAAAGAACGUGAUGCACUGAAAAACAUCACUAAACCAGCACCUGCAAAGAAAGAUAAAGAGGCUCCAAAAGCUAAGAUCAGACCACAGCCCAAAAAGAAAGAAAUCACCCAUGAGAAGGUCAAACAAGUAAAGGAACCUUUACAGAAAGUCGAGCCAACUAAGAAGGAGGCUGUUGUGGGCAAGGAAGUAAAAGGAGAAGAACCUGAUGUCUCCAAAGAUAUUCCAGAGAUGGAGGAUGAGGAUGUUCCCUACUUCCAGUGUUUCUUUGUGGAUGAGGAUGAUACUCAGUAUCCAUUCUUCCCCUUUUCACCACCGCUGUGGUGAAACUAGCCAAACCUCGUAUUCUGAUGUUAAACAACAUGGCAAAGCCAGUGAAGACGGACCUCUGAACGCUCUGAUGCAGUGGAGAGCUUCACAGUAGGUCCUACAGCAUUACACCAGCAAUGACCAAGAAAUGUGAAAGAGAUUUAAGUUACUUCCUGGAUCUUAAAACUCGAAAACUUCCUUCUCAGAUUCUUUGUCAUUUUGAAGAACAGAGUUUGCAAAUAUUGCGCUAUUUAUUAUAUCAUCUUAAGGCUAUCCAUCUUUUUAUUAAUACCAUGGAUUUGCCUUUUGUUUCUGAAUGAUUACUAUCUAUUUAUGAUUAAUAUAUAUGUCCAAGAAGGACAGGAAGAAAUGAAAGAACUAACUUCCUUUCUGAACAUGCAGUGGGGUUCAGGAUUGUAAGAUUAUAUAGUCUUUUAUAUAAACAUGAGGCGUGACCUCGUUUUGAUGGGGUGCUAAUUCUAAGCAUUCCACUGUGUUUUCUGUCAGAAUGGGGUUUGGAAGUUGUUCACGGUUCGUACAACUGGAAGGAAGGAUAUAAUAAAACAAGAAAUAUGUAAACUAUUUCAUAUAUCCUUUCUUAGUGAUACCGUUUACUAAACUGUUUACAGAAGUAACAGCUGCACUGAGAAAUACGGGCUUUGGACCGUAAGCUCAGUUCCUCAGAAUGUAUACAUCAUUUUAUUUAUAUAUUAUUUUUAUUUUGUUUUAUUCCUCUCUCUUUUUUAGCUUUCCAUACAUUUUACUUAAUAUAACUUGCCAAAUGUUUUAUAAAUCUAUACUUCAGAGGAAACAAAUAUGUUUUGUUCAGUGCUCUUUAUAAAUGAUUUUGCAUAACAAAAUUAAGAUAAGCUGUUGUGCUAAAUCCAAGAAAAAGCAUCAAACAUCAAGGCAACUACGUUGUUCUAGUAUAUCACAUUGCAAACACUACUGUUUUUACUUUUAUCUGCAUAACAUUAAUAGUUUAUUUAAGAUAAUGUCUGUAAAAAUGUGGGUGUGUUUUUGCAAUAUUACAUGGAUAGACCUACCUAAUAGAGAAGAGACAAUUAAAUAGCAUUCUGAAUUGUGUAACAAAAAUUGUCUGUUCCACAUUAUACUCAUACAGAAGAUUUUUUUUUAUUAUUAUGGGAUAAUGUGUCAAAUUAAAUUUAUUGCAUGCAACCACCGUGUGUUUCAACACUGCCCCUGGUGGCUCCCUGGCUCAUUACUCCAUUGCUUGAUUUAAUGAUAUUGAGUGUUUAAUGGUAUGUACUAGUGAGACACACCAUUAAACUAGUGUGCCGGUGGGCUGCCCUGGAGACAUUUCUUUUACUGCCACUGUCUUUUCUGUAUGAGUUCAGCAUGUGGCUCCAUUGAACAUAAACUCAUGUCUGUACAAAGAGCUUUUUUACCUCUGAUGUUAAGUAACUUAGGGUGAUCGUACGUUCUGUUUUUCCCAGACAUGUCCUGGCCAGGAUUUCUAAAUUGCCUAAAAUGUCAUUUUUUUGACUUUCUGAAGGUAAUGACUGUAAAGUAGUUUCACCAGCAUGCAGGCAUUGUGCUUAAUCGACCAGUUGUGGCCUGCGAGAAGGUGGGAUCUACAGAGAAGAGUCAAAGCAGUGCAAAUACAUGUACACAUAAUGUCUGAGGACUCUAGAGAGGAAACGCCAAAACCUGGACAUUUUAGGCAAUGUAGAAAUCCCGAUCAGGAUAUGUCUGGCAAUAAGAGGAUGUAUAGUCAACUGUACAAAUACAUAUUGUAGCAAUGCUCACUUGUAACAGAUAUACAGGUCUUUUUUGGACUUUUUUGGACUUUUCAAGUAAAUUAUGAGCUUGUUGGUGUGUUCUCAAGCAAACUGUGAAGCAAUGAAUAACAGCAUUUUUCAAUAGUUCAUAUAGUUCUUUAAGAUAUGUGUACUGUUAUUUUAAACCUAAUUUACAGUUCAUAUUUGAAAAAUGUUCCUCAAAGAUAAUAGUUUGCAUGAUGUUUGCAUGAAUUUUGUUUAAAAAUGUAUCUAAACCAGACCAUAUUUAAUUUGUGUGUGUUUUUAAUUGGAAUUACAUAAUUUCAUUGAAAAUGUAUAAUGUAAUAUUAUAUUCAUUUGGGUUUGUUUGUUUUUUUGCAUGGUUUUGAAGUUAGAUGUUGAAAACAUUCUCUGUACAAUGUAUAGC